AUGAACGCUGGCGGCGUGCCUAAUACAUGCAAGUCGAGCGAACAGACGAGGAGCUUGCUCCUCUGACGUUCGCGGCGGACGGGUGAGUAACACGUGGAUAACCUACCUAUAAGACUGGGAUAACUUCGGGAAACCGGAGCUAAUACCGGAUAAUAUAUUGAACCGCAUGGUUCAAUAGUGAAAGACGGUUUUGCUGUCACUUAUAGAUGGAUCCGCGCCGCAUUAGCUAGUUGGUAAGGUAACGGCUUACCAAGGCAACGAUGCGUAGCCGACCUGAGAGGGUGAUCGGCCACACUGGAACUGAGACACGGUCCAGACUCCUACGGGAGGCAGCAGUAGGGAAUCUUCCGCAAUGGGCGAAAGCUUGACGGAGCAACGCCGCGUGAGUGAUGAAGGUCUUCGGAUCGUAAAACUCUGUUAUUAGGGAAGAACAAAUGUGUAAGUAACUAUGCACGUCUUGACGGUACCUAAUCAGAAAGCCACGGCUAACUACGUG
rnacentral:rRNA from 1 species